rnacentral:lncRNA from 1 species
UCCAGAACUUCCAGCCAUGCCUGGCAGACCCAAGGCUCUGAAAGACAUCCCAGCACUUCAGACCCCCAGCCUUCCAAGCCAGGUACCACCUGCCUUCUUGCACUUCCGGUUGAGCAUCUAGAAACAACAGGAGGAGAUCACAGAACUGAAACACACUUUGCAGGAAUCGAAGACCUGCGUCUGAAAAGAAAGAGUUUUCCUUUUAUAAUCAUCUUGCUGAGGACAGCACUUCACAUAAAAGCAUUGUGCAAGAUGGCAGACAUGCAUCUCAGGCCAUUUCAGAAACUCCAGGACAUCAUGUCUUAAUCUCAAACCAGGAUUCAUUUAAGGACUUUUUGUGAAACUUGAGCCAACAGCCCAAGCAGCAAUUUAAUGAAUUCUUAGUUCUAGGAUGGGAUCUCAAGGUGUGGACCUGGUGUGGAACUCAGUGUAUAGACCAGACUGACCUCGAACCCAGAGACCACCCGCAUCUGCUAGGACUAAAACCAUGUGCCACCAUGCCUGCCUCCCAGCAGCAAUUUGUAAAAUGAAACAUUCGUGGCUGGAGAGAUGGCGCAAAGGGUAAGAGCACUGACUGCUCUUUCAGAGGUCCUGAGUUCAAUACCCAGCAACUGUACCAUCUGUAAUGGGAUUGGAUGCCCUCUUCUGGUGUGUCUGAAGACAGCUACAGUGUACUCAUAA